UUGUUGUAAAGUUGAAGCUUCAUAAUUUUUGUGUGCUGGGGCCACUGAUCAGAUUUGUUGGUGAAUUAUAUAGAAGGCCUCUUUUAUAAUUUCAUACAUGAUGCAUCUAGUUGUAAAAAGGUAAAUUACCAACUAGUUAUGAAAAGGUAAAUUAAACUCUAGUUGCAUAGUAGAUUAAUUCACGCACCUCAAGCGUUGUGACAGCUUCAGCAGCCUAUACAAAUAUUACAACCAGAGGGGUAUCAUUCAUUUGUUCAAAGGGCCACCAGCAAUGCUUACUUUUACGUUAAGUGCUUUUUUUAUUUUACUAUCAAGCACAAGCUUUACAACUUUCUUAAAACUGAGUUUUACUUGUUCCUCCACCUUUUGGUGGUGACCGUUGAGUAAUAUUGAAUCUUCUAGGUGCAUGAGUGAAAGGGACGGCAAAAUCCUUCGAUAUUUAUGCUUGUCAAACGCGUAUAGAAGUUACAGAAACCCGUACUUUUUACUGAGUACUGCUCUAGGGAUUUUGUCCAUUAUCUAUGACACUUUUAUUGACAAGUUUAUCCAAAUUAAUUAGAAUGCUUCAUGCAUAAUUACUUUUUGUCAUGGUGCACUAAUACAAUACUUUUGACAGGCCAUUAGUGAUUUUUAUUGUAAUUUUGUUAAAAAUCGCAGGCUAUUGAUUAGUAAUUAGAUUUUAUGGUUUUCUGAGCUUAUAUAUACCGAUAGGUGAUAAAGUUGCACCGAUGCUAAAUGUAGGACUUUGAGGUCCAUACUUACCAAGUAAAAAUCAUCAGAGCGUUGUGGAGGAUUUACACUUACAAGUUAAGCCGGCUGAUACGUGAUUGCUCUCCAAGAGCAAACGACUUCAUACAACCAAACAAUAUUUAGGCUUCAUAUCCAGAAGAAUUAAGCAUGUUGGAGUUAUUUUGUUUACUUUUUAUUUAUGAAUAACAGAAUAGUUCGUUCAAUUAGCAACAUGGCAUAUGUUAACAAAAAAAAAACACAUAUGUCCAGAGUUAUAUUGCAUGUUAUCUUUUAUCAAUGGGUAAAUUACAUAGUAACCCCUCAGGCCAUCUCCAACCGAAGGGUCCAGAGGGCCAGAGGGUCGAAAAUAGCCCGAAACCGUCUCCAACCGAGGGCUAGGCCAGAGGGCUCUAGAAUCUGGGAGGGCCCCACGGAAUCGGAGAGGGCUGGAGGGCUAGAGGGCUGGCUACUUUUUUUUUUU
rnacentral:lncRNA from 1 species